UCAAGCGAUCGAACGGCUAAGGACGUUCCCGACUUUGAAUAAGAGAUUUUUUGCACGAUCCGACGGCCAGAACUUCAUCAAAACCCAGAUCCAAAGGCUGACAUUUGAUCCAAUUUUGAUUUGGAUUAAAAUGAGGAUAUUCUUGACAGAUCUGGGUGGUUCAAGCUCCAUCCGACGGUCAGAAAUAUUUCUAGGAGGAUUAAUAUGAUUUCUAAAGGUUUUAAGACUCCU
rnacentral:lncRNA from 1 species